AACGAACGCUGGCGGCGCGCCUAAUACAUGCAAGUCGAGCGAGAAGGUGUAGCAAUACACUUGUAAAGCGGCGAACGGGUGAGGAAUACAUGGGUAACCUACCCUCGAGUGGGGAAUAACUAGCCGAAAGGUUAGCUAAUACCGCGUACGCUUCCGGGACUGCGGUUCCGGAAGGAAAGCGAUACUGUGAGUAUCGCGCUCUUGGAUGGGCUCAUGUCCUAUCAGCUUGUUGGGAGGUAACGGCUCACCAAGGCUUCGACGGGUAGCUGGUCUGAGAGGAUGAUCAGCCACACUGGAACUGACACACGGUCCAGACUCCCACGGGAGGCAGCAGUUGGGAAUAUUGGACAAUGGGGGCAACCCUGAUCCAGCCACGCCGCGUGAGUGAUGAAGGCC
rnacentral:rRNA from 1 species